rnacentral:rRNA from 1 species
UUUUUCAGCAGAUGGCUCAGGACGAACGCUGGCGGCGUGCUUAACACAUGCAAGUCGAACGGUAAGGCCCUUCGGGGUACACGAGUGGCGAACGGGUGAGUAACACGUGAGUGACCUGCCCUCUACUUCGGGAUAACCUCCAGAAAUGGUGGCUAAUACCGGAUAUUCACAUGUUCCUGCAUGGGGGUGUGUGGAAAGCCUUGUGCGGUAGGGGAUGGACUCGCGGCCUAUCAGCUUGUUGGUGAGGUAGUGGCUCACCAAGGCGUCGACGGGUAGCCGGCCUGAGAGGGUGACCGGCCACAUUGGGACUGAGAUACGGCCCAGACUCCUACGGGAGGCAGCAGUGGGAAUAUUGCGCAAUGGGCGGAAGCCUGACGCAGCAACGCCGCGUGCGGGAUGACGGCCUUCGGGUUGUAAACCGCUUUCACGCAUGACGAAGCUUUUGUGACGGUAGUGCGAGAAGAAGCACCGGCCAACUACGUGCCAGCAGCCGCGGUGAUACGUAGGGUGCGAGCGUUGUCCGGAAUUAUUGGGCGUAAAGAGCUUGUAGGCGGUUUGUCACGUCGAAAGUGAAAGCUCGGGCCUUAAUCCCGAGCUUGCUUUCGAUACGGGCUGACUAGAGGAAGGUAGGGGGGAACGGAAUUCCUGGUGGAGCGGUGGAAUGCGCAGAUAUCAGGAGGAACACCGGUGGCGAAGGCGGUUCUCUGGACCUUUCCUGACGCUGAGAAGCGAAAGCGUGGGGAGCAAACAGGCUUAGAUACCCUGGUAGUCCACGCCGUAAACGGUGGGCACUAGGUGUGGGUCACAUUCCACGUGAUCCGUGCCGCAGCUAACGCAUUAAGUGCCCCGCCUGGGGAGUACGGCCGCAAGGCUAAAACUCAAAGGAAUUGACGG